rnacentral:pre_miRNA from 1 species
UCUUCAUUUCACGCACUCUCUCACCGGUCAGAGUGACGAGAGAGUGUUCGAAAUGGCGAGA